rnacentral:misc_RNA from 1 species
AGCAGCCGCGGUAAUUCCAGCUCCAAUAGCGUAUAUUAAAGUUGUUGCAGUUAAAAAGCUCGUAGUUGAAUUUCGGGGUUAGUAGUUUGGUCGUGCCAAUGGUAUGUACUGGGCUCACUGAUUCCUCCUUCCUGAUGAACUGUAAUGCCAUUAAUUUGGUGUUGCAGGGAAACUGGACUGUUACUUUGAAAAAAUUAGAGUGUUUAAAGCAAGCUAACGCUUGAAUACAUUAGCAUGGAAUAAUGAAAUAGGACGUUCGAACCUAUUUUGUUGGUUUCUAGGAUUGACGUAAUGAUUAAUAGGGAUAGUUGGGGGCAUUAGUAUUCAAUUGUCAGAGGUGAAAUUCUUGGAUUUAUUGAAGACUAACUACUGCGAAAGCAUUUGCCAAGGAUGUUUUCAUUAAUCAAGAACGAAAGUUAGGGGAUCGAAGACGAUCAGAUACCGUCGUAGUCUUAACCAUAAACUAUGCCGA